rnacentral:tRNA from 1 species
GCCAGCAUGGCAUAGCAGUUUGAGUAUUGGACUGCAACUCUGGAGACCAGGGUUCGAUUCCCUGCUCAGCCA